UCCUGGUUAACCCAGGCAGUCUCGCUAGAGUGCCCACCAUUACGUGUUGGCAACUAACGACAAGGGUUGCGCUCGUUGCGGGACUUAACCCAACACCUCACGGCACGAGCUGACGACAGCCAUGCAGCACCUGUGCAAUUGUCUCUUGCGAGAAGAUUACAUUUCUGUAACUGUCAAAAGCAUGUCAAGCCCAGGUAAGGUUCUUCGCGUUGCAUCGAAUUAAACCACAUGCUCCACUGCUUGUGCGGGUCCCCGUCAAUUCUUUUGAGUUUCACCCUUGCGAGCGUACUCCCCAGGCGGUAUACUUAUCGCGUUAGCUACGGUACUAUCAGGGUUGAGCCCAAUAACACCAAGUAUACAUCGUUUACGGCAAGGACUAC
rnacentral:misc_RNA from 1 species